rnacentral:rRNA from 1 species
GACGAACGAUGGCGGCGUGCUUAACACAUGCAAGUCGAACGAAGUGGCGAACGGGUGAGUAACGCGUAAUCAACCUGCCCUUCAGAGGGGGAUAACAGUUGGAAACGACUGCUAAUACCGCAUACUGAAGGAGGGGCUUGCGUCUGAUUAGCUAGUUGGAGGGGUAACGGCCCACCAAGGCGAUGAUCAGUAGCCGGUCUUGGGGGAAGAACGGGCACAUUGGGACUGGGACACGGCCCAGAAUCCUACGGGGGGCAACAGUGGGGAAUAGUCCGCAAUGGACGAAAGUCCGACGGAGCAACGGCGCGUGGGUGAUGACGGCCGUCGGGUUGUAAAGCUCUGUUAAUCGGGACGCGGUACCGGAAUAGAAAGCCACGGCUAACUACGUGCCAGCAGCCGCGGUAAUAC